UACGUGGGAGGCAAGCGUUGUCCGGAGUUACUGGGCGUAAAGGGCCCGCAGGCGGUGGAGUAAGUUUGGAGUGACAGUUCCCAGCUUAACCGGGAAAGGACUUCGAAAACUGCUCGACUUGAGGACUGGAGAGGAAGGCGGAAUUCCGGGUGGAGCGGUGAAAUGCGUAGAGAUCCGGAGGAACACCGACGGCGAAGGCAGCCUUCUGGAAAGUACCUGACGCUGAGGGGCGAAAGCUAGGGGAGCGAACGGG
rnacentral:rRNA from 1 species